rnacentral:rRNA from 1 species
GACGAACGCUGGCGGCGUGCUUAACACAUGCAAGUCGAACGGUAAGGCCCUUCGGGGUACACGAGUGGCGAACGGGUGAGUAACACGUGGGUGAUCUGCCCUGCACUUCGGGAUAAGCCUGGGAAACUGGGUCUAAUACCGGAUAGGACCACUGCCUGCAUGGGUGGUGGUGGAAAGCUUUUGCGGUGUGGGAUGGGCCCGCGGCCUAUCAGCUUGUUGGUGGGGUGAUGGCCUACCAAGGCGACGACGGGUAGCCGGCCUGGGAGGGUGACCGGCCACACUGGGACUGAGAUACGGCCCAGACUCCUACGGGAGGCAGCAGUGGGGAGUAUUGCACAAUGAGCGCAAGCCUGAUGCAGCGACGCCGCGUGAGGGAUGACGGCCUUCGGGUUGUAAACCUCUUUCAGCACCGACGAAGCGCAAGUGACGGUAGGUGCAGAAGAAGGACCGGCCAACUACGUGCCAGCAGCCGCCGUAA